UAGCAUAAUAAAUUGUUUUUUAAUUGAAAACUGGAAUGAAAGGUAGAACUAUUUAUGAAUUUGUUUAUUUUAAUUUAUGAAUUUUUAUUGUAAGUAAAAAUACUUAUAUAAAAUAAAGGGACGAUAAGACCCUAGAAGCUUAAGUUUGUAAGAAUGUAUAAUAGUUAUUUUUAAAGUUUACAUUCUAUAAAAUUUUGAUUGGGGAAAUAAAAAUUUUACUAAUAAUUUUUUUUUUAGAAAAAUAGUUAUUCAAGGAUCUUUUAAAUAAAAAAGUGGAAAAGUUACUCUAGGGAUAACAGCGUAAUAAUUUUGGAUAGACCUUAUAUAUAAGAUUGAUUACGACCUCGAUGUUGAAUUAAAAUAUCUUUAUAAAGUAGAAAUUAUAAUAGAAGGUUUGUUCAACCUUUA
rnacentral:rRNA from 1 species